AAAGCCAGAGGAAACUCUGGUGG
rnacentral:siRNA from 1 species